UAUGUUCCAAGAGUUUCUGUUAUUCUCUGUAGGUGAGGCCAUGCCUUGGUUUGCGAACACGCUCCAGGAGAGGGGAGAAGAGGAAGGACCGAUACCGGCAGCAUCGGCACGCUCUCAUCACGAUGAGCCCUUGCACGGCAGAAUUCAAGUGACAGGUCUGACAAAAUUGGGACGCCACGAGGAGCAAGAAGAAAGUGCUCAACACGCUCUCGGGAAACACAAGGGACAAAGAGAAUUGAAUUGAUCCACGGAAAGGGGAGAGAAGACAUCAGCCAAAUGGGCAGCCAUGUUGUUGUCUGUGGGAGAGGAAGCCAAGGAGACACGCUUAUUGGGAUGGAUGCCUCUGAACUCACCCGCUGGUUUUUUUUUCCACAGAUGUUUUUUUUUUCCACGGACUGCAUUCAUGGGUUUGCCAGUGUUAAAAGCUAGCCCUGGAGAGUACAAAAGUCAAUAAUUGUUCACCAUGCCCUAAUCACAUCAGUUUGAAAAUCAGGGGUACUUUGUUUUCAGCUCUUAGGUAAUGAUACUGUUAGAUUUUGACAAAUGAUGUCAUUAGCAAACUCAUGGGAAGGCCAACACCCAAAAGAAUGUUGCUGCCCCUAAUAUCUAUCCCUGAUAGCAGCAAAUUGAUAGAAUUCUACACAUUCUAUCAAUUCUAGACACUCACACACACACACAUACACACACACACCCAAUUCAUCGAAGGAAAAAGGCAAAUGAGAUUCUAAUUUAGUAGGAAGCAUAUUAGGAGUGUGUGAGGAGCUUAAUGACUCUUCAUUGUGCAGCACUUGUAACUUUAUUAACAUCGUAUUUAACAUCGCAUAAUGGCUCAACUCUUGAUGAAACUAGUGUAAUUGUUGUAAUUCAGCCGUCAAAUUGAGAGAAACAAAAAGUCCCCCUCCCAUCUUCUUCAAGUAGUGUCUGGUUACUUAGUCUUAGAUGAUUACUUAAGUUACUUAAAAUGAUUAAGUUAAAAUUAUUUCCUCUUUAUGUUGUCCCCUGGUGUUGGGGGUUUGAGAGAGAAGCUAUCUUGUUCAAUUCAGUUCAAUUCUACUCUGACAUUCUAAUUUAAUGUUUAUGGAAACCAUCUGUGCAUUCAAAAGCAAUAAACGAACAUCUUUCUAUCUGUUGAAAAA